AAGUGUGUAGCUCAGUCAGUAGAACACCUGACUUUUAAUCUGAGGGUCCAGGGUUCAAGUCCCUAUUCAGGGA
rnacentral:tRNA from 1 species